UUACGGCCACACCAUGUUGAAACGCCGGUUCUCGUACAAACACAGAAGUUAAGUAACGUCGAGCCUGGUCAGUACCCAGAUGGGUGACGGCUUAGGAAUUCCAGGUGCUGUAAG